rnacentral:snRNA from 1 species
UUGCUUCAGCACCACGCAGACUAAAAUUAGAACGACACAGAGAAGAUCGCUCUGCAAGGAUGACACGCAAAUUUGUGAAGCAUUCCAUAUUUUA